GCGCCGGUUGUGUAAUGGCGAAGAUCAUUCCCGCUCGGUAAGAGGGAGGUGCGGGUUCGAGUCCCGCCUGGCGCU
rnacentral:tRNA from 1 species